GAAAUGACCUGGCAAGGGUGUUUUAGUUAAAAAGUUGCACUUUUGAGAAUUGGCUGGACAGGAGGACAAAUUAUACUAGAAGCUUGGCUGUCAUGAGCAUGGGAUUCUUUGUUAUUCUUUCAUGGAUGCCUAUAUAUUUUAAAACAGUAAGGCCAUAGCUAGCCUAAAAGUUGUAGUUUAUCAGCAAUUUAUCACAUACUCAACAAGUGUACUGAUUUUAUGAGAAAGAUGAAAUACAUGUCUCUUUGUUAUAGAUAUAUCAUGUCCACCUUAGACAAGCAGC